AUUGAACGCUGGCGGCAGGCCUAACACAUGCAAGUCGAGCGGAGCGGCGGACGGGUGAGUAAUGCAUAGGAAUCUGCCUGGUAGUGGUGGAUAACGUCCGGAAACGGGCGCUAAUACCGCAUACUAUCAGAUGAGCCUAGGUCGUAUUAGGUAGUUGGUGGGGUAAAGGACUACCAAGGCGACGAUCCGUAACUGGUCUGAGAGGAUGAUCAGUCACACCGGAAAUGAUACACUGUCCAGACUCCGACGGCAGGUAGCAGUGGGGAAUAUUGGACAAUGGGCGAAAGCCUGAUCCAGCCAAUCCGCGUGUGUGAAGAAGGUCUUCGGAUUGUAAAGCACUUUAAGUUGGGAGGCGUUACCAACAGAAGAAGCACCGGCUAACUUCGUGCCAGCAGCCGCGGUAAUUC
rnacentral:rRNA from 1 species